rfam:Oceanobacter sp. HI0075 HI0075_c1052, whole genome shotgun sequence.
CAAUAAGGGCACUAGGGUUCCGGCAGGUCUCUCCCAAUUAACUUAAGGGAAAGAGCCAGCGACUGGACCGAGAGUGACCGACCUCCAGCGGCGUACUGGCAGGUUACACGGCGGGAUAAAAGCCCGGGAGAU